AGCGAACGCUGGCGGCAGGCCUAACACAUGCAAGUCGAACGAACUCUUCGGAGUUAGUGGCGGACGGGUGAGUAACACGUGGGAACGUGCCUUUAGGUUCGGAAUAACUCAGGGAAACUUGUGCUAAUACCGAAUGUGCCCUUCGGGGGAAAGAUUUAUCGCCUUUAGAGCGGCCCGCGUCUGAUUAGCUAGUUGAUGAGGUAAAGGCUCACCAAGGCGACGAUCAGUAGCUGGUCUAAGAGGAUGAUCAGCCACAUUGGGACUGAGACACGGCCCAAACUCCUACGGGAGGCAGCAGUGGGGAAUCUUGCGCAAUGGGCGAAAGCCUGACGCAGCCAUGCCGCGUGAAUGAUGAAGGUCUUAGGAUUGUAAAAUUCUUUCACCGGGGACGAUAAUGACGGUACCCGGAGAAGAAGCCCCGGCUAACUUCGUGCCAGCCGCCGCAGUAA
rnacentral:rRNA from 1 species